UAAGAUAGAAGCUGCAAGGUCCAAUGAUCAAAGAUUGACUUUCCCCUCCAUUUUACGCUGUGUCGUUUACGCUUUCAACAUUGAAUGGACUUGAUCUUUUACUCUUCCUCAGUGCAUCGACAGGGAUGCUGUAAAAUGCAAUUAAGGGAGGUGCAAGCCAUAAUGUAGAUUUGAACCUCGGAAUAGCCUCCUCUGUUUUAGCUGAUUACCAGCCUGGUGAUCUUCUUGUGUCGAUUUUUAUAAAUUUUCAGGACAAAGGGUGCUACUUCCAGCUCUUUUGUGGCCUAAACAAGUCUUCACUUGUGCUCUAAAUGUAUGUCGUGCGUAGCAAGAUAUGUGGACUUCCCGAAAUGAGAUACUUUGCUGGUUUUCAUAAAUUUUUCUUCUGGAAUGAGUUUGCAUGGGCCUGAUUAAAUAGGAAGUUUAGUCCAAAAUACAGAUCAGGGAAUUCUAUAGAGAUGCAAAAAACAUUGUGAGAUAAUUGAUCAUAGUAUACUAAAAGUGAGAAGUCACCAUAGUUGAAAGUUAGUUUACGAAAAUACCCUUUAAAAAUUAAAUGCCUAAAUACCCUUAUAUUAAAAUAAUAUUAUUACAAGUUUCUGGCAGUAAAAAUACAACUUCUAGGCUGAGUUUUUGCAGAUACAAAUGAAUAUUAAAAGGGGGUGUCUUAUUAAAUGGUAUUGUAGAGGCUUUUCAACUCCUACCGUUGGGCUACAAGUAGUUUCUCCUUAAAUCUUAGAACUCAAAUAGUUAUUUUCCAGUGUGUUCCUUCUAUAAUGAGUGCUGAUUGAUUAAAUCUACGUAAGAGAAUCAAGUAUAAGAUAUUUUCUCUGGAUUUGGGUUAUUGUAACAUUCUCAGUUCUAAUCAUUUCACAAGCAAAUUGCCAGAGAAACUGAAUGAUCUGGCAAAGAUUGAAAUAUGACUCUGUGAAUGCAUCUGGACUGUACAUUUAGUGAGACAUCUUUCUGAGUCUUCUUCACAGUAGUAUUUAAUGUGAGCUUAAUAUCGAAGAAUAUGAUGAGUUCAGAUUGUCAACAACUAAGGAAGUUGAAUAAGAAGCACAUAGACUUCGGGAUUUACUCAAUGUCGCCAACUUUACAAGACAAUAUUGUGCAAAUGUACAAUAUUUAUCAAUCAUGAAGAUUACAAUAUUCAUGAGAAAAAGUUCAAGUUUUUCAUAAUCAAAGGUGUACCCAUCACAUGUAUUUUGAGGUUUCAAGUGGAAGUUCAUUUUAGAUGAUGUAUUUAGUUUUUCAAAGCUCAUGUUUGUGUAAUUAUAACCAAAUUGAUGGCAUGAAGAUAUCUUUGCUAUAGUUCAGUUAUGUUUGCAUGCUUUAUUUAAACACACCAGCUGACCUACAUAUCAAUGUACAAAAAGGGAUUUUAGCUCAUGUUGGGCAUGUUUCGCCCGUGAAAUGUUAUUUUCAUAUGGUGUUUGAAGUUUAUUUUGAUGGUAAUAAUGAUUUUUGAGAUGGUUGGAAUGUUA